rnacentral:tRNA from 1 species
GCGGGCGUAACUCAGUGGUAGAGUGUCAGCUUCCCUCGCGACGAGUCGCGAGUUCGAGCCUCGUUGCCCGCUCCA